CCUCCUGCGAUAUCUCCACACCACGCCCGCGACGUUCCUCUGCGGAGCCAUGCCCCUGCACCCCCACCCCAUGCGCGUCACACGAGCAGAUGCGGCCGCUGCUUCCGUCUCCCUCCUCCAGUAGUGCGGCGGCGUCCCUAGCGCGAGUCUCUGGUGACCUCCUUCCUCGUAGCCACCUUCGGCGACCCUUCCUCUUCUCCGACCAGCCACCCCCGGCCUCAACUCCGGUGUGGGGAUAGGCAGCGGGCGUAGAUCCAGCACGGGCACAGAUCCAGCGCGGGCGCAUAGCCUAGCUCCGGCAAAAGACGCAUAGCUCCAGUACGGGCGACCAACGCAGCCUCCUGCUCCCCUAUGUUUCUCGACCUCCGGUGGUUCCUUCCCCCACCUCAGCGUCCUUCCUCCCCUACCCUAGCGACACCCUCCCCCCACACCGACGUCCUCCCCCACUGGGAGCCCCCAAUCUCCGUAGAUCUGGCGGCCAUGGCACUCCCUGCGCUAGGAUCUCUCUGCCCACCCUAUGUUGCAAUUGUAUAUUUCAAUUGUUUCAGAAGGUUCAAAGGUGUGUUGCAAUUGAAUCAAAUGGAUGUUGCAAAAGUAGAUCGGAGAAUGUUGUACAUGUUGCCUUUCAAUUGUUUUAAAGGCAUGUUGUAAUAGUAUGUUUUUGAAUGUUUUAGAUGUUUCAGUGGUAUGUUUUGUCUGUGUUUUUUCCAUAGAUGUAUGUUUCAAUUGUGUUUAUUUGGA
rnacentral:lncRNA from 1 species